AGGCCAUGGUGUGGGCAAACUCGUUGAAGUUCUUUAUAGCGAUCCCACGCCUCAUAUAGGGAUUCAUUUUCAUGUUGGGUGAAUGAGGUUAUUUCUUUAAUAAGCCU
rfam:Jatropha curcas cultivar GZQX0401 scaffold958_9, whole genome shotgun sequence.